UUAGAGUAAGCGGGCGAUUGCUCUAUUUUUAAUAGAGAGGAAAGUCCGGACUUCGUAAUUUGUUUAUUUAUAAGCAAAUAUGAUAGUGGGUAACGCCCACCGGUCUAUUCCGCCAGCUGGCGGAUGGAUUAGGGAAAGUGCCACAGAGACAAUACUAAUUCUGGAAUUUUUGACAGAAUCAAAGGUGAAAAGUGGCCGGAUGUCCUUCGGGGCUACCGGUUUCGGCCUCCGGUGACGGAGAUGCCGCGGUAAACCCUAUCAGAAGCAAGAGCAAACUAACUCGUUCUACGAGUUAAGGUAAGUAGCUCGCUCGAGCUCGCCAGUAAUGGCGCGCCUAGAUAAAUGAUCGCUAGAACAGAAUCCGGCUUACGGCUGCUCUAAUAAC
rnacentral:RNase_P_RNA from 1 species